rnacentral:rRNA from 1 species
UGAGGAAUAUUGGUCAAUGGGCGCAGGCCUGAACCAGCCAAGUAGCGUGAAGGAUGACUGCCCUAUGGGUUGUAAACUUCUUUUAUAAAGGAAUAAAGUCAGGUAUGUAUACCCGUUUGCAUGUAUUUUAUGAAUAAGGAUCGGCUAACUCCGUGCCAGCAGCCGCGGUAAUACGGAGGAUCCGAGCGUUAUCCGGAUUUAUUGGGUUUAAAGGGAGCGUAGAUGGAUGUUUAAGUCAGUUGUGAAAGUUUGCGGCUCAACCGUAAAAUUGCAGUUGAUACUGGAUAUCUUGAGUGCAGUUGAGGCAGGCGGAAUUCGUGGUGUAGCGGUGAAAUGCUUAGAUAUCACGAAGAACUCCGAUUGCGAAGGCAGCCUGCUAAGCUGCAACUGACAUUGAGGCUCGAAAGUGUGGGUAUCAAACAGGAUUAGAUACCCUGGUAGUCCACACGGUAAACGAUGAAUACUCGCUGUUUGCGAUAUACUGCAAGCGGCCAAGCGAAAGCGUUAAGUAUUCCACCUGGGGAGUACGCCGGCAACGGUGAAACUCAAAGGAAUUGACGGGGGCCCGCACAAGCGGAGGAACAUGUGGUUUAAUUCGAUGAUACGCGAGGAACCUUACCCGGGCUUGAAUUGCAACUGAAUGAUGUGGAGACAUGUCAGCCGCAAGGCAGUUGUGAAGGUGCUGCAUGGUUGUCGUCAGCUCGUGCCGUGAGGUGUCGGCUUAAGUGCCAUAACGAGCGCAACCCUUAUCGAUAGUUACCAUCAGGUUAUGCUGGGGACUCUGUCGAGACUGCCGUCGUAAGAUGUGAGGAAGGUGGGGAUGACGUCAAAUCAGCACGGCCCUUACGUCCGGGGCUACACACGUGUUACAAUGGGGGGUACAGAAGGCAGCUACACGGCGACGUGAUGCUAAUCCCGAAAGCCUCUCUCAGUUCGGACUGGAGUCUGCAACCCGACUCCAUGAAGCUGGAUUCGCUAGUAAUCGCGCAUCAGCCACAGCGCGGUGAAUACGUUCCC